rnacentral:tRNA from 1 species
GGGCGUGUGGCGCAACGGAUAACGCGUUUGACUACAUAUCAGAAGAUUCCAGGUUCAAAUCCUGGCACGCUUC